AGAGUUUGAUUCUGGCUCAGAACGAACGCUGGCGGCGUGGAUAAGACAUGCAAGUCGAACGAUUACCAUCGGGUAGCAAUAUUCGGUGGUGAGAGUGGCGCAAGGGUGCGUAACACGUGGGUAAUUUGCCGUAAAGUCUGGAAUAACUUGCUGAAAGGCGAGCUAAUACCGGAUGUGAUUGCUGGGGGGCAUCCUCUGGCACUUAAAGUCGGGGAUCGUAAGACCUGACACUUUUCGAUAAGCCCGCGGCCUAUCAGCUAGUUGGUGAGGUAACGGCUCACCAAGGCUAAGACGGGUAGCUGGUCUGAGAGGACGACCAGCCUCACUGGAACUGAGACACGGUCCAGACACCUACGGGUGGCAGCAGUCGAGAAUUUUUCUCAAUGGGGGAAACCCUGAAGGAGCGACGCCGCGUGGGGGAUGAAUGGCUUCGGCCCGUAAACCCCUGUCAUUUGCGAUCAAACCUUACGACCUAACACGUCGUAAGCUGAUAGUAGCGGAAGAGGAAGGGACGGCUAACUCUGUGCCAGCAGCCUGUAAUACAGAGGUCCCAAGCGUUGUUCGGAUUCACUGGGCGUAAAGGGUGCGUAGGCGGUCGGGUAAGUCUGACGUGAAAUCUUCAAGCUCAACUUGGAAACUGCGUCGGAUACUAUUCGGCUAGAGGAAUGGAGGGGAGACUGGAAUACUUGGUGUAGCAGUGAAAUGCGUAGAUAUCAAGUGGAACACCAGUGGCGAAGGCGAGUCUCUGGACAUUUCCUGACGCUGAGGCACGAAAGCCAGGGGAGCAAACGGGAUUAGAUACCCCGGUAGUCCUGGCCCUAAACGGUGCACGUUUGCUGUAAGAGGAAUCGACCCCUUUUGUGGCGAAGCUAACGCGUUAAACGUGCCGCCUGGGAAGUACGGCCGCAAGGUUAAAACUCAAAGAAAUUGACGGGGGCCUGCACAAGCGGUGGAGUAUGUGGCUUAAUUCGACGCGAAGAACCUUACCUGGCCUUGACAUGCACAUAGUAGGAGCCUGAAAGGGUGACGAGGUAGCAAUACCAGUGUGCACAGGUGCUGCAUGGCUGUCGUCAGCUCGUGUCGUGAGAUGUUGGGUUAAGUCCCGCAACGAGCGCAACCCCUGUGUCCUGUUGCCACCCCUUAACUGGGAGCACUCUGGACAGACUGCCUCGCUUCAACGAGGAGGAAGGUGGGGAUGACGUCAAGUCAGUAUGGCCCUUACGGCCAGGGCUGCACACGUACUACAAUGCCCGGCACAAAGGGAAGCAAGACCGUCAGGUGGAGCAAAUCCCAGAAAACCGGGCCCAGUUCAGAUUGUCGUCUGCAACUCGACGGCAUGAAGCUGGAAUCGCUAGUAAUGGCGCAUCAGCUACGGCGCCGUGAAUACGUUCCCAGGCCUUGUACACACCGCCCGUCACAUCAUGAAAGCCGGUUGUACCCGAAGUCGCCCCUUAAAAGGUGCCGAAGGUAUGGCUGGUGAUUGGGAUGAAGUCGGAACAAGGUA
rnacentral:rRNA from 1 species